CUUGGUCAUUUAGAGGAAGUAAAAGUCGUAACAAGGUUUCCGUAGGUGAACCUGCGGAAGGAUCAUUACACUCAGUAGUUUACUACUGUUAAGGAGGCUGUUAGUCUGUAUAGCUUAAUCGCUGAUGAGCAGCAGGCCUUCUUUCCACACCCUUGUCUUUUGCGUACCCAUGUUUCCUCGGCAGGCUUGCCUGCCGAUUGGACAAUCUAUAACCUUUUUAAUUUUUAUUCAGCGUCUGAAAAACUUAAUAAUUACAACUUUCAACAACGGAUCUCUUGGUUCUGGCAUCGAUGAAGAACGCAGCGAAAUGCGAUAAGUAGUGUGAAUUGCAGAAUUCAGUGAAUCAUCGAAUCUUUGAACGCACAUUGCGCCCUAUAGUAUUCUGUAGGGCAUGCAUGUUCGAGCGUCAUUUGUACCUUCAAGCUUUGCUUGGUGUUGGGUGUUUGUCCUCUCCCUGGUGUUUGGACUCGCCUUAAAACAAUUGGCAGCCAGUGUUUUGGUAUUGAAGCGCAGCACAAUUUGCGAUUCUGGCCUUAAAAUACUAGCGUCCAUAAGUACAUUCUCACUUUUGACCUCGGAUCAUGUAGGGAUACCCGCUGAACUUAAGCAUAUCAAUAAGCGGAGGA
rnacentral:rRNA from 1 species